rnacentral:lncRNA from 1 species
CCAGAACACGAUGUAGAGUUCGAUUAACACGAACCUUUGGGUAAGAUGGUAGCUUACCUGGUUCAGGAUCGCGCGAAGCGGCGCGAGACGGAGGCGCCAGCCAGCUGGCGGCGGCAAAAGAUCGCGAUCCGAGCGCGCGCACUUCCCGCUCUACACUCUCGCGCGGCACCCUCACGUUGUCUUGCGACGUUGCGCCCUAACAUCUCCCCGUACCUCGUUUUUCAGCUCCGGGUUUGCCAUCUACCGCGCAACCAUGCACGGAAAAAAACCCCUUAUGUCUAGCCCAGUGAUUCCCAAAGUGGGCGAUAUCGCCCCCCAGGGGGCGUUCUCGUUCUCGA